rnacentral:misc_RNA from 1 species
CCAAACUUGGUCAUUUAGAGGAAGUAAAAGUCGUAACAAGGUUUCCGUAGGUGAACCUGCGGAAGGAUCAUUACAGAGUACCGGUGCCCUCGGGCGCCUGCUCCCACCCUUUGUGAACCUUUGACCGUUGCUUUGGCGGGCCGCGGCCCCGCCGCCCCCAGCGUCAGCCGGGGAGCGCCCGCCAGAGGACUCUUAAACCCUUCUAAUCGUGGAUUCUGAGUACAAACAAAAAAAUCAAAACUUUCAACAACGGAUCUCUUGGUUCUGGCAUCGAUGAAGAACGCAGC